UAUAUAAACAUCUGAAAAUGUAGUUUGGUAACUGAAUUUAGUCAGACCAAACAAGGUAAGUUCUUUAUUCUUGUACAUAUGUUUUUUAACAUAGACUCCAAGACAGUUUGAAAUUAGAAAUUUUCUUCAAAAUCUGUUUAAUGUAUUGCAAUUGUACUCUUUUAUGUUUUAAAAUUUAAUUUUAUCUUUUCAAAAUUCAAUGAAAAGAAAUGAUAAAAUGUAUUCCAGAAACAGUAGUUUUUGUCUUGCACUAUGCAAUGAUAUUGAUCUUUAUACUUCCAAAUGGUUUACCCAGCUGUCAUAAUUAACUGGGAAAUGUAUGAAACUCUUCAAAGACGAUUGAAGACGGCUAUUUUCAGACUAAGGUUCUUUUGGUUUUUCUCUUAUUAAAUUAUUUUUUUUCAAUUUAAAAAAAGAUAACUAAUCAAAUCUUGUCUCCGAAUUUCAUUGCAAAAUUUGUCAAAAAAAACUUAAAAAUUAUAGAAUAGAGGUUAUUAUUUCAGAUUAUUAUAGGAUUAAACGCCUUUUUAAAGGGAUUUAUUGGUGUAUAAACUCGACCAAUUCACUCACAAAUAAAUAACAGUCCGAAGGACUUUUAUGAUAUGUUUGUGAGGGGUUUGGUCCAGUUUAUACACCAAUAAAUUCCUUUAAAAAGGCGUUUAAUCCUUAUAAUUCUUUAAAAUUGGAGAUAAGCAAUAUAUUUUUCAACAAUCGUAACCUCUAUCACACGUAAAUUGUAUAUUUGUGUUGUGUCAUUGGAUAGGCAUGUAGCAUGAAUAUGUUUGUUGGUUAACGCAAAAAUAUGUACUCAAUGAAAUUUGCUAUCUAAUAAAAAAUAAACUUCAAAAACUCUUAUUAUCAUUCAAACGAAUGUUUUUUUUAUUAUUAUUUAAUUUAGCGAUUAACGUGCAGCGAAAAUAAAUUUUGUUAACGUCGGUGUUAUUAUCGCCGCUAUCUUGUUUACAUUGGUUACGAAAAGAAGUUCGGUCAACGUCGUCUAUUGAAAAAUAAACAACGUCAAGAUCAACUACCGGAAAUCCUCUCGACCAAUCAUAUCAACGUUUUCCCUAAUAUGCAAAUCAUACAAGAAUUAUUACAUGGUAUUUUUCACAUCAGUUGUAUUAUCAUCCUAAGGUUCAAUAUUAGCCCAUGGGCUGAUUAUACAUAUAAUAUGGAAAAUGUCAUGUUUUCAUCUUCUAUCAUAUGCUUCAACAAUGCUGAAAAAAAAUAGGUUACUAUAUUGAUCCUUUUAUGUGGUUCAAAAAGUAAAAACAAUUAAGGACGUCGGACAUCAGAUGAAAUACAUUCGAUAUGCAAUUUUUUGUAUCAUUUGCCUCAGCAGAGGAGAAAAACUACAGUAUAAUACAUUCUAAUAUUGACGAUAAAAAGAAUCAAGUAAACAUUUUUGUAAUGGAUAUAGUGUGGUGAAAUGCUAGGGUUUUCAAAGGUCUUUAACUUCGAAUUCAUUUACGGAUAUCUUAGUUAUUUUGGAAUGUGAAUGAACAUGUGACAUGCUGUUUUCAUUUUUGAUUUGACCACCAAGUUUGAAAUCUAUUCUGUUCAAAUUAUAUCAUAACAUUUCAAAUAUCUUGACAUUUUCAAAUUUGUAUUAUGAAUUCAUUUGUUUGUUAUUCGUCAAGAGUGAAUACUUAUCUAAAAUAUACAAUGGUGAUUCCAAUUCUUUUAAAUUAUUAAUAGACUGAGGGUCCUUCUAAUGAUUUAGUACAAAAGGGGGUGAGAAAUAAAAAUAUUAUAUUAUGAUGUUAAUAAAAUUGUGCCCGUAAAUUAUUGUUUUGUAAUAAAAAAAAACCUUUGUGCUACAUAUGCUAUGUGUUUAAAACAGCUCAGUUUUGUUCCCAACAAACAUCAGGUUUAAGAAUGGUGCAUACUUAACGUUGAAAUAAAAUUUGUUUGCUGGAACAUGACUAUAGGUGUUACUGUUUACCUGCACAACUAUAUUGUAAAAUUGACAAUACAAUUUGGACAUUUAAAUUGACCAGUUGGUAUUGUUAUAGUUCAGUGGUCAUUCUAUUUAUUUUGCAUGAUAUAUAUACAACUCAAACAAGUGAAUCAUCUUCAUAUUAGAUCCAGAACUUAAUAACGAUUGUUUCUAAAAUCACAUUUAAACAUUUCAAGCCACGUAAAUAUGUUGAUUGUACUUAUUUAUCCUACUUUCUGUUUUGAAUGUUUUUAUCUUUCAUAUUUGUAGGACUCUGAACCGCGAUGGUACUCCGAACCGCGAUGGUCACGCUGAGGUGCGAUGGUUUGACGCCGAAGUGCGUUUUUGAUCACGCUGUAGUGCGAUGGUGGCAUUGUGACGCUAUCUUGUUGAUAGCUACGCCGAAGUACGAUGGUGGUUACGCUGAAGUCCGAUGGGUUACAUAAAUUUCAUAUUGUUAGUGUUUUCUAUGUCCACAUGUCGAUGAAGAAAUACAUGUACAUUACAUAGCUGUGCUAGAAGAACUUUUCUUGUUAUAAUCGAGAAUAUUUCCAGUCAUAAUCGUAACGUUUAAGUUUACUGUCAGACUUUUUUGGACAAAAAAGUUAACAUUCAUUCAAUCGUUCCAGUCGCUACAUGCAAACAUUUUUUAUUUCAUUAGUGCUUAUUUCUGACUGAAAAUGGGUGAGCUGCUUAAAACGCAAUAUAAUAAGUACAUAAUACACGUAUCACCCGUAUGUGGCUUUUACUGCAACUGGACCUUCGUGUUAUGAUAUUACGGUAAGUGGUAAGCUGGGACUGAGGUGGGAGUAUUGCAUAUAGUAAUCUUAGAUGAGGGGAACAAAGUUAAGUCUUUUAAAACACAUAAAAAUGUCCCCAUGCAGCAAAACGGAAAACAAUCUCUCGUUUAGCAUGAAACUAUAAUUAAGAACAUAUAUAGACCAUCGCACAUCAGCGUACGGACCAUCGCACUUCGGCGUAGACCAUCGCACUUCAGCGUCCCCAUCGCACCUCCGAGUCCUACAUAUUUAAGUAAAUUCCAUCUUUUAAAAGGUGGAUUCCAUUGAGGGAACUUUAACAUUGUGUUGUAAUAAGGCUAUAACUAAGUGGAAACAAUCAAUUGGUGCCUUUUAAAGUCAAAGAACAGUUUCUUUGUAAAUACGUACAUGUACAUUUAAGUACUCAAAAAUUUAUCAUCCAGUCAUUUAGAAAUCUUUAUAUAUAAAUUUUAAUAUAUAAUUCAUUCAUAAGUUAACAUGUUUGUCUCAAGUAUGUAGCUUUGGAAGUAUGAGUUCAAUUAGUUUUAAAAAAGAAAGAAAAGGCUCUAAUCAUAUUUUUUUUUUACUUUUUGUAUACAAAAUGUAUUCGGGGCUCCUGAAGAUAUUAGCAAAUAGAUUGUACUCUUGUUUUCUAUAUUCCCUCUCCCUAUAACAUUUUUUUAUGGAUGAUAGUGUUUCUCAUCUUAUACAUCCAUCGGUUGACAUCCAGAUCUGUUUGAUUUGAUGUUGUACUUUAUCUAUAUGUGAAUGGUUUUGUAGUUCUUAAAUCCAGGCGGUUAUUAAUUAAUUGCAUAUCAUUGAUUCAAUUCAUUUUUUCAGGAAUUUACAAAAUGCAGUUGUUUGUUGCUGUUCUAUUCGUUGUAGUUUUAAACAGUUCUGUUACUGGUACUUCGUUAGGUAAAGGUAAGCAGCUAAGGUUAGGUAAUUGAAAUGAUUGAGUGGAUUACGGUAAGGUAUAAGUUUGAAUAUUGAAACGGAUAAGUGGUUAACGGUACGGAGUUAACGUUUUAACAUUGAAACAGAUGACUGGAUAACGGUAG
rnacentral:lncRNA from 1 species